rnacentral:rRNA from 1 species
AGAGCGAACGCUGGCGGCAGGCCUAACACAUGCAAGUCGAGCGCCCGUAGCAAUACGGGAGCGGCAGACGGGAUAGUAACACGUGGGAACGCGCCCUUCGGUUCGGAAUAACUCAGGGAAACUUGAGCUAAUACCGGAUACGCCCUUACGGGGAAAGAUUUAUUGCCGAAGGAACGGCCCGCGUCCGAUUAGCUAGUUGGUGAGGUAAUGGCUCACCAAGGCGACGAUCGGUAGCUGGUCUGAGAGGAUGACCAGCAUCACUGGGACUGAGACACGGCCCAGACUCCUACGGGAGGCAGCAGUGGGGAAUAUUGGACAAUGGGCGCAAGCCUGAUCCAGCCAUGCCGCGUGGAUGAUGAAGGCCUUAGGGUUGUAAAGUCGUUUUAACGGGAAGAUAAUGACGGUACCGUAGAAUAAGCCCGGCUAACUUCGCGCCAGCAGCCGC